CCUACGGGAGGCAGCAGUGGGGAAUAUUGCACAAUGGGGGAAACCCUGAUGCAGCGACGCCGCGUGAGUGAAGAAGUAUUUCGGUAUGUAAAGCUCUAUUAGUAGGGGAGAAAAUGACGGUACCUGACUCAGAAGCCCCGGCUAACUACGUGCCAGCAGCCGCGGCAAUACGGAGGGGGCAAGCGUUAUCCGGAUUUACUGGGUGUUAAGGGAGCGUAGACGGUCAAACAAGUCAGAAGUGAAAGCCCAGGGCUCAACCCUGGGACUGCUUUUGAAACCGGCGGGUUGGAGUUCAGGAGAGGUAAGCGGAAUGCGUAGUGUAGCGGUGAAAUGCGUAGAUAUUAGGAAGAACACCGAUUGCGAAGGCAGCUUACUGGACUGUAACUGACGUUGAGGCACGAAAGCGUGGGGAGCAAACAGGAUUAGAUACCCCUGUAGUC
rnacentral:rRNA from 1 species